UUGUGUACCUACUGCCUGUAAGAAGUCUACAGAAGUACAAUUCUCAGCAAGAUAAUGCCUGGCACUUUGAGAUGAUGACUUGCACCUACAGAAUUAACAAAACUAAGUUUAACAAUGGACUCCAGUUUACAGAUCGGGAACUCUUCGUGUAACAAGACAGCUUCACAGGACAGGACAAUCAAGGGUUGGAUAUGAAGUAGUAACUCUCCCAGAAACUUGAGACUCAAUAGCACUGCCACAAGAGAGAGGCAUGCUAGUGUGUCAUUGUGGAAUGAGGAAGCACCUGCAAGAUAAAGCUGUGCAAAGAUAAACUGGGCCAGAAUCCAUCAUGGUUCACUUCACAUGCAGCUGUCCAUAUUCUUUGAUCCCC